CCGGUAAAGUAGCGCCGUCGUCAUCAUCACAGCCGUACGAGGGGAAGCCGGUGCGAAUCCGGCGCUGACCCGCAACCGUGAGCCGUCCUUCAGGCGGCGAGCCGGACCGCCCCGUACGACGUGACCGGC
rnacentral:ncRNA from 14 species